rnacentral:rRNA from 1 species
GACGAACGCUGGCGGCGUGCUUAACACAUGCAAGUCGAACGGAAAGGCCCUGCUUUUGUGGGGUGCUCGAGUGGCGAACGUGUGAGUAACACGUGAGUAACCUGCCCUUUACUUUGGGAUAACUUCAGGAAACUGGGGCUAAUACCGGAUAGGAGCUCCUGCUGCAUGGUGGGGGUUGGAAAGUUUCGGCGGUUGGGGAUGGACUCGCGGCUUAUCAGCUUGUUGGUGGGGUAGUGGCUUACCAAGGCUUUGACGGGUAGCCGGCCUGAGAGGGUGACCGGCCACAUUGGGACUGAGAUACGGCCCAGACUCCUACGAGAGGCAGCAGUGGGGAAUAUUGCACAAUGGGCGGAAGCCUGAUGCAGCAACGCAGCGUGCGGGAUGACGGCCUUCGGGUUGUAAACCGCUUUCGCCUGUGACGAAGCGUGAGUGACGGUAAUGGGUAAAGAAGCACCGGCUAACUACGUG